rnacentral:rRNA from 1 species
AUUGAACGCUGGCGGCAGGCUUAACACAUGCAAGUCGCGCGAGCGGCGGACGGGUGCGUAAUGUCUGGGAAACUGCCUGAUGGAGGGGGCUAACUACUGGAAACGGUAGCUAAUACCGCAUACCAUCAGAUGUGCCCAGAUGGGAUUAGCUAGUAGGUUGGGGAAUGGCGCACCUAGGCGACGAUCCCUAGCUGGUCUGAGAGGAUGACCAGCCAAACUGGAACGGAGACACGGUCCAGACUCCUACGGGAGGCAGCAGUGGGGAAUAUUGCACAAGGGGCGCAAGCCUGAUGCAGCCAUGCCGCGUGUGUGAAGAAGGCCUUCGGGUUGUAAAGCACUGUCAGCGAGGAGGCGUUACUCGCAGAAGAAGCACCGGCUAACUCCGUGCCAGCCGCCGCGGUAAUUC